GCUGCGCAGGCUCAGGAAUGGGAGACGACUCCCCCCAGAAAACGAAUCCAAAAUCGAAGCGGGCGAGCCCACUCCCGCCGUCCCCAGGGGAUAUGUCGUAGCAACACCGCAAUUUGGACACAGCGUCGUCACCGAGUCAGACGCAAUCCGAGGCGGGGGCUGAUCCAUGGGCCCCCAUUCACCCCCGAGGGCCGGGAAGGCACAGAGGGUGAUUUUCCUCCCAGCACACUGCGCCUGCGGCGCGGGGCGGGGCGGGGUGAGGCGGCCGAGUCGGUUCUACAGGGAAUCCAGGUGGAAGGCUCCUCACACUUCUCCUGCUCCAGCAUGGGGUAUGUGGCAAGACAUCCCCCCUACCACAGAAGAGCUUAUCUGCAGCUGGUGUGACAGUUCUGGACAUUCUCCCAUGUGAAGUGAUGAGAUAACCCAGGCCAGCUCUCUGGCUACUAAGUGUCACAAGCUAGUGAGUUAUUUCUUCCUCUGGUGCCAGGACUAGAACUCCCAAUAAAUAACUGGGUGUGAGAACAGGUGUGGGGAGAUAAUCCAGAGAUUUCUGACUGAAAAGGCACUAUUUUUACAACUACAAAAGCUACACAAAUUUCCAUGGAGGUAAAAGCCUCCUACACACACCCUGGAAAUGUGCAGGGGACUUCUUCCAUGAGCUCAGACAUGAACUCUGCAGAUACUUUCCCAGGAAAUUGAGAGGAAGAAUUCUAUGUGUACCCCAUCAUCAAUUUGAUGGUAAAUUACAUUGAAUCCUAAUCUAUACUAUUUCUUCACUAGCUGUAAUAUAGGUACCUUUAUAAUGCACUGUAUUUUAUCUACUAGUAGUUCUUUUUGUUUUAUUCCUGUGUAGUACAUAGUCUGUAAAAGUCUUAUGUCUGAUAAAUUUGUAUCAAAUAAAUAAUUCAUUUUGUAAUAGA